UACUUAGGGGGCAAGCGUUGUCCGGAUUUAUUGGGCGUAAAGAGCGUGUAGGCGGCCAGACAGGUCCGUUGUGAAAACUAGAGGCUUAACCUCUAGACGUCGAUGGAAACCGUCUGGCUAGAGUCCGGAAGAGGAGAAUGGAAUUCCUGGUGUAGCGGUGAAAUGCGCAGAUAUCAGGAAGAACACCCGUGGCUAAGGCGGUUCUCUAGUACGGUACUGACGCUGAGACGCGAAAGCGUGGGGAGCGAACAGG
rnacentral:rRNA from 1 species